rnacentral:rRNA from 1 species
UAUUGGACAAUGGGGGCAACCCCGAUCCCAGCCAUGCCGCGUGUGUGAAGAAGGCCCUCGGGUUGUAAAGCACUUUCAGCGAGGAAGAACGCCUAGCGGUUAAUACCCGCUAGGAAAGACAUCACUCGCAGAAGAAGCACCGGCUAACUCCGUGCCAGCAGCCGCGGUAAUACGGAGGGUGCAAGCGUUAAUCGGAAUUACUGGGCGUAAAGCGCGCGUAGGUGGCUUGAUAAGCCGGUUGUGAAAGCCCCGGGCUCAACCUGGGAACGGCAUCCGGAACUGUCAAGCUAGAGUGCAGGAGAGGAAGGUAGAAUUCCCGGUGUAGCGGUGAAAUGCGUAGAGAUCGGGAGGAAUACCAGUGGCGAAGGCGGCCUUCUGGACUGACACUGACACUGAGGUGCGAAAGCGUGGGUAGCAAACAGGAUUAGAUACCCUGGUAGUCCACGCCGUAAACGAUGUCGACCUGCCGUUGGGUGCCUAGCGCACUUUGUGGCGAAGUUAACGCGAUAAGUCGACCGCCUGGGGAGUACGGCCGCAAGGUUAAAACUCAAAUGAAUUGACGGA